UCUUCUGCUCCCUGAGAAAGUGAGAACAUCUUCCUGAGAACAUCUCCAACUCUGACUGCUCUUCUCUUAUAACCACGGUAAAUAGUAUAAGGCCUGUGGCUGAUACACUGGACCGGAGGGUCUGUGGACAGGGAAGUAUGUCACGUGACAUACAUGGUACACACACGAGAUUUGAUCUCUGUUUAGCUUAUUAGUGAGCGAGCCUGAGGUGACUGUGGCGAGGAAAAACUCCCUUAGAUGGUAAGGGGAGGAAACCUUCAGAGGAACCAAACUCCUCAUUUGGGUGACAUUGGAGAGUGUGAUUAUAAAUGAUUAUAAACACCAGAGAGUGUGAUUAUUAAUGAUUAUAAACACCGGAGAGUGUGAUUAUAAAUGAUUAUAAACACCAGAGAGUGUGAUUAUUAAUGAUUAUAAACACCAGAGAGUUUGAUU